rnacentral:rRNA from 1 species
GAUGAACGCUGGCGGCGUGCCUAAUACAUGCAAGUCGAGCGAAGAUUUUCUGGUGUUUGUCCUAGAACAAUUUCGCGGCGAACGGGUGUGUAACAUGUAAAGCACCUGUCUCAUAGUCUGGGAAAACUAUUGGAAACGAUAGCUAAUCCCGGAUAACAGUAUUCCUCGCAUGUGAGAUAUUUAAAAGUUGGUUAUGCUAACACUUUGAGGUGGCUUUGCUGUGUUUUAGCUAGUUGGUGGGGUAAAGGUCCACCAAGGCGACGAUGCAUAGCCGACCGGAGAGGGUGAUCGGCCACACUGAAACGAGGACACGUCCCAGACUCCAACGGGAGGCAGCAGUGGGGAAUCUUCCGCAAUGGGCGAAGGCCUAACGGGGCAACGCCGCGUGGGUGAGGAAGUAUUUCGAUUCUAAAAGCUCGGUUGUUAGGAAAGAAUAAAUAGGAAGUAACUAUACAUGUAAGAGACGGUACCUAACCGGAAAGCCACGGCUAACUACGU